rnacentral:lncRNA from 1 species
GAUACCUAACAGCUUGUGUGAGUAGCCCAUAUAGCUAUAUCCUGACCGUCAACUUGUGAGAGCAGAGUCGUGAGUAGCUCAAAAGCGAGCAACAUGUGAUAUGUGAUAUAAGGUAGUGUUGGCUACAUAUGGGGCACUUAGGUGCGAGAUUCCGAGAUUCCAAUGUAUCCGAUAGUAUUCUAAGUGUUCAACAAGUAGUUCAAAGAGAAGUUCCAUGAGUAAUUUUAAUGAACAAGUCAAAGACGAGAAAGUAAGUAUUAUGUGCAAGUUGGUACAGGUAUGUAUAUAAGCUCAUGAUUAAAGAUCUCGGUAUGCUACGAACAUGUGGUAAAAAUGCAUAUGAGAAAGUUAUGCUUAUGAGACUUGAUGACAUUUAUGAAACUUUCCCUUAUGCUAAUUGUAUGAUUAUGUUGCUUAUUAUUUGCAUGUGAACUUACUAAGCUUUAAAUCUUACCCCCUUUCUUCUUUUUUUUAUAGUGUCGCCAAGCUAGCUCGGGGAUCGGAGGAUAUCGGAGUUUUCGAUCACAUUAUCAAUUGAAUAUUGGGUAUAGUUAGUCUCAACAUUUUGAGUAUGGCAUGUAUAAGGACUUGGUCUUUUUGUUAUGUAUCAUAUUGAUUAGCGAAAUGUGUUGGCUCAUAAUGGUAUUGUGAUUCAUUUUGUAUAUGGUCAUGAGAGAUGGCUCAUAUUGAUUAUUCGGGUUGUAACCCUAAUCAUUUGUGCAUGCAUACAAAUGUGUUAUGCUUGAUGUGGUUGCUUGUGGUUGAUUAUGUUAAUAAGUGUGAUGGAUUGCAUGUAUAUUUAAUGUAUGAAAUAUGAUUAAUGAGUAUGACAAUAAAUGUGGUAUAAUGAUGAAUGGAUAUGAAAUUGGUGUGGAAUGUCAUAUGAAAGCCUAAUGGUUUAAGUAUGUGAUAUGUUGACACUACAAAGUUAUAAAUUAACCAUGUAUGUGAAUGCUUGAGUAACUAAAGGUGCCAUGUUGCAUGCCACGAAGAUAGUGUAGGUAGGUGAGUGUUCAAGGGUUGCAAAUAGCUUGGAAAAUAGCCUAGAAAUUGUCUACACGGUUAGACACACGGGCAUGUGUCUAGGCCGCGUGUGGCACACGGGUUUACCCCAUGAGUGUGUGAUCCGGCCAUGUGUCCCCUGUACCCUAAUUAAUGCAACAGAAUGCCCAGUAGUAAACACACGGGCAGAGACACGGCCGUAUGUCUCAGCCGUGUGGAGGACACAGCCUUAGGGCAUGGGCGUGUACCCAGGCCGUGUGAAGUCUGCACUUAAUUUCAAGAAUUUAAUUCGCCACACGGGCAUGUGCUGUAGCCGUGUGAACUCAUUUUGUUGAUGACGUCAUAGUCAGAGAGUUACACAUGCUAAGGAAAUGGGCGUGUCCCAAGCCGUCAUACACGCCUACCCACAUGAGCGUGUGACUCUCUAAAACAAGAAAAUUUUCUAAGCGUUGAAAAGGUUCCAAAAAUUCUCGGUUUAGUCCCGAACCGCUUCCGAUGUAUGUUUUGAGCCUCGUAGGCCCUUAUAAGGGACAAUUUACAUGUGAUUGAAAAGUUUUAAAUUAAGAUGAAAUUUUAUGGCUCGAUUUUGUAUGUUUGUUUACAUUUAAGUCUGGUAAUACCUCAAACCCUAUCCCGGUGUCAAAUACAAGUAAAGGGCAGUACACAAGGGAUUUAUUUUACUAAAAUUUUAAGCUUCCUUGCUUUCUUACUGUAUUUUUCGAUUGAAAAAUGAAACAAGAAGAUGGCCAUUUUGUUUUAUUUUAUUUAAUUUAGCUUUUAUUACUAUAUUACAAAAUUACCCUUAUCUAACUUUAAAAUUUUCAUAAUUGCCAAGCCAUGCACAUCCACUAACUCAUUUAAUGGUCUAAUUACUAUAUAAGGAUAUCUACUUUAAAUUUCUGUAAUUAUUUAAUACUUUUAAGUAAUAGAACACAAUUUUUACAUUUUAUGAAAUUUAAUCCUUUUCAUCAAAUUAAACAUGUAAACGUUAAAAUUUCUUAACAAAAUUUUUAUACGGUAAUAUUAUCAUGUUGUAGAUCAUAAAAUAAUAUUAAAUUAAAUUUUUUUCCUCAGAUUUGUAAUUUUAAAACUACUGCUCCGAUUUCACUAAAAAUAAUUUAUUAAAAUAAAUAAUAAAAAAUUAUAAGCUCAACUCCCGAAAAUGGAGUCCCGGAAAUAUAUUUUUCUUCGACACCCUUGAUUUUUAGUUGGUUACAAAACUUGGGUGCAAAAAUGAUUGUUAACGAGAGAGUACUUACAUCUUUUGCGACCGAGGCAAUAACCUGUUUAUAGGCAGUUCAGGUGGGGUUAGAAAUGGGACUCUGAUAGGUUAUUAUGGAAGGGGUUGCACUUAGUGUUAUUCGACGAGUAAAGACAUUAAAAGAGGAUGGAUCAGUUCUAUGUUCGUACAUACAAGAUAUACAAAUAUUAAGCAAAAGAUUUGAAGAUUCGCUUUCAGAAAAUAUCUAGAUCUGGUAACAGAGUUGCUCAUGAACUUAAAAAAAAGAGCAUUUAAAAGUCUAAGGAAUACUGACAUGGGACAUCGACUACUAAGGAAGGCCAUGUUAGCAUUGGAGGGAGAUGCGAGAAGUAUAGCAACAUCGGAAUGAGAUGAGAGGACUGAUGGGCAUAAGGAACAGAGGAG